rnacentral:rRNA from 1 species
AUGCCACAGUGUACUUGUAUUCUCAGUAAGCACAAAGGAAUUGUACUUUGUAUUCUUUGUGCUGCAGUGCAGGUGGCCUCUUACAGUUUAGAGGUGACUGUUUUUCGAACUUAUCUGAAUUUUGUUUCAUGCACUGACAGUUCAGAUUUGCAUCUGAGUUUACGGUGGCCUAGUGGUGAUAUUGUUGCAAUAAUUGUAGAGAUAGAAUUGUAUAGAGAGAGGACUCUUCUGUUUAAACUUGUAUCUCUUCUCUAUCUCUUCCUGCUCUUUACCGACCUUCUCUGUAAUCGAUCUAUCGAUCGUUUCCUUCUUGUAAGCCACGGCAUUGCCAAUAUAAAUACAAGUGCGGCCCGAGCAAAGGGUUAA